rfam:TPA: Bos taurus chromosome 15, whole genome shotgun sequence.
UCCCUGAUGGUCCAGUGGUUAGGACUCUGAGCUUCCACUGCAGGGGUCCUGGGUUCCAUCCCUGGUCAGAGAA